rnacentral:tmRNA from 1 species
GGGCUUUCAAAACCCCGCGGAAGUGCUUAUAUUUGCAGGCGUCGGGCAACCGACUAUGGCGAUAAACGUCGUGUGGCAUAAGCGUUGCGGACCCGGGGGCGGUACCCGGCGCCUCCACCAAUUUCCAACCGACUCGGAGCAUGCAUCCGACCGGUUGGCUCUCGGGGGCGAAAUAGGAUCGACGCGCGUGGUAAAGGCACGAUUUUUGCCCGGCAUGGUUCCGCCGUUAUCGGGCCAAUCCUAGAGUGCCAACGACAACCGUAUGGCCCUCGCUGCCUAACUUUAGGUAAGCGCGGUUCGGGGGGGCACCGGGCAACAGAAGCCCCCCCACU